UUUUGGUUGAUAGGCAAUGCCUGUUUUCAUAACGAGAAUAGAGGAGGAAACCAAUCUUGGGAGGACUUUGAGAAAGGAAUUUGUGGUUGAUUUUGGUUGAUAGGCAAUGCCUGUUUUCAUAACGAGAAUAGAGGAGGAAACCAAUCUUGGGAGGACUUUGAGAAAGGAAUUUGUGGUUGAUUUUGGGAACAAGGGCUCGAAGAUAUUGUGGAAGAAUUUAUG
rnacentral:misc_RNA from 1 species